rnacentral:rRNA from 1 species
UACCAGCUGGCUGCAACUGUUUAUUAAAAACACAGCACUGUGCAAACACGAAAGUGGACGUAUACGGUGUGACGCCUGCCCGGUGCCGGAAGGUUAAUUGAUGGGGUCAGCGCAAGCGAAGCUCCUGAUCGAAGCCCCGGUAAACGGCGGCCGUAACUAUAACGGUCCUAAGGUAGCGAAAUUCCUUGUCGGGUAAGUUCCGACCUGCACGAAUGGCGUAAUGAUGGCCAGGCUGUCUCCACCCGAGACUCAGUGAAAUUGAACUCGCUGUGAAGAUGCAGUGUACCCGCGGCAAGACGGAAAGACCCCGUGAACCUUUACUAUAGCUUGACACUGAACAUUGAGCCUUGAUGUGUAGGAUAGGUGGGAGGCUUUGAAGCGUGGACGCCAGUCUGCGUGGAGCCGACCUUGAAAUACCACCCUUUAAUGUUUGAUGUUCUAACGUGGACCCGUAAUCCGGGUUGCGGACAGUGUCUGGUGGGUAGUUUGACUGGGGCGGUCUCCUCCUAAAGAGUAACGGAGGAGCACGAAGGUUGGCUAAUCCUGGUCGGACAUCAGGAGGUUAGUGCAAUGGCAUAAGCCAGCUUGACUGCGAGCGUGACGGCGCGAGCAGGUGCGAAAGCAGGUCAUAGUGAUCCGGUGGUUCUGAAUGGAAGGGCCAUCGCUCAACGGAUAAAAGGUACUCCGGGGAUAACAGGCUGAUACCGCCCAAGAGUUCAUAUCGACGGCGGUGUUUGGCACCUCGAUGUCGGCUCAUCACAUCCUGGGGCUGAAGUAGGUCCCAAGGGUAUGGCUGUUCGCCAUUUAAAGUGGUACGCGAGCUGGGUUUAGAACGUCGUGAGACAGUUCGGUCCCUAUCUGCCGUGGGCGCUGGAGAACUGAGGGGGGCUGCUCCUAGUACGAGAGGACCGGAGUGGACGCAUCACUGGUGUUCGGGUUGUCAUGCCAAUGGCACUGCCCGGUAGCUAAAUGCGGAAGAGAUAAGUGCUGAAAGCAUCUAAGCACGAAACUUGCCCCGAGAUGAGUUCUCCCUGAGACUUUAGGUCUCCUGAAGGAACGUUGAAGACGACGACGUUGAUAGGCCGGGUGUGUAAGCGCAGCGAUGCGUUGAGCUAACCGGUACUAAUGAACCGUGAGGC